AAAAGAUUUAAGCCUAAAGAAGCCAGGCAAGACCAUUUAGUUCCUUACCAUAGUCCCUCUCUCAGAGACUACAUUAAUUUUCAUUUGUUGGCCAGAAAAAUACCUGGCCAAAUACCUAGAGAAAUCAGUGUAUGAAGAUGGCACAGUUUGGUGGAAACACUCUGGCUUAGACUCAGGCUCUGGAGGCUCAAGUCAUGCCCCCACAUUUAGAAUCCUGUAUUGUUUACCUAGUUAUUUGACAUUCUGGCCUUAGUUUUGUCAUCUGUAAGAUGGAGGCAAUAAUACCUGCACAGUUUAUGGAGUUAUUAGGUGGCCCCAAGCAGGCGAUGGAGGGUACUUUGCAAGGUGAUACACAAAAGUGAGAAAUGACCGGGCCUCCCGUCUGUCCAAGGACAAGCAUGCUUCCGGCAGGGUCUGCUGUGUGCACGGAGCACCCGUCAGCCUGGAGCAGACCUGAGACGCUGGCACAAGAACUGUCAUCUGGAGAAGCGUCACCUCCUGUCCGGCUGAGGUUCCACGGGGCUUCUGCCAGAGACCUGAAUAAAUGUUAUAGAACAGCCCAAUCUCACUGUCCUCCUUUGUCUUCCAGAAGCCCUUGCCCUGUCCUGAGCUUACUGACAUGGCCAAAAGACUGAAAAUGCUAACAAGACAGGGAGCCCCCCAUCUGCAAAUCCUGUUCUUACCCAUCAAGCUAAGCCAGCACCUGUACUUGUUCCAGGUUGAGCCCAACAGCAGCCUCAUAUCCUAAGGCACAGCUCGCUGAGUUCUGAGCCCUCCCAAGGGAAGGUCUUAACCCUAGCUCAUCCAUUUCCAAAGCUGAGGCCAUGAGCCAAGUGUCCCAGGAUGCUCUCCACUCUGCCCACAGAGCGAGGUCGCUGGUCUCUGAAGCAAGUCCCAGGUUUCC
rnacentral:lncRNA from 1 species